AACGAACGCUGGCGGCGCGCCUAAUACAUGCAAGUCGAGCGAGAAGACGUAGCAAUACGUUUGUAAAGCGGCGAACGGGUGAGGAAUACAUGGGUAACCUACCCUCGAGUGGGGAAUAACUAGCCGAAAGGUUAGCUAAUACCGCGUACGCUCCUUGGACUUCGGUUCAGGGAGGAAAGCGAUACCGUGGGUAUCGCGCUCUUGGAUGGGCUCAUGUCCUAUCAGCUUGUUGGUGAGGAACGGCUCACCAAGGCUUCGACGGUAGCUGGUCUGAGAGGACGAUCAGCCACACUGGCACUGCGACACGGGCCAGACUCCUACGGGAGCAGCAGUAAGGAAUAUUGCGCAAUGGGCGAAAGCCCUAGACGCAGCGACGCCGCGUGGGGGAUGAAGGU
rnacentral:rRNA from 1 species